rnacentral:rRNA from 1 species
GAUGAACGCUGGCGGUAUGCUUAACACAUGCAAGUCGAACGGACUCUUCGUCGUUAGUGGCGGCCGGGUGAGUAACGCGUGAGAAUCUGGCUUUUGGUUCGGGACAACCUCUGGAACCGGUGGCUAAUACCUGAUGUUCCGAGAGGUAAACUAGAAAGUGCCUGAAGAUUGUCUCGCGUCUUAUUAGCUAGUUGGUGAGGUAAAGGCUCACCAAGGCAGCGAUCAGUAGCUGGUCUGAGGGAAUGACCGGCCACACUGGGACUGAGACACGGACCAGACUCCUACGGGAGGCAGCAGUGGGGAAGUUUCAGCAAUGGGCGAAAGCCGGACGGAGCAAUAGCGCGGGAGGGAAGAAGGCUCUGGGGUGGAAAACCUUUUGUCUUAGGGAAGAACAAAAUGACGGUACCUAAGGAAUCAGCAUCGGCUAACUACGUG